AUGAGGUGUCUCCUCCUUCAAUCCCCUUGCUCAAUAUCUCUCAUCUCCCUUCUUGUGCUCUCUCUUCAGGAAUCCACACCCAACCCUCAUGAAAUCGAGUUCGUUUUUGUUGCCUUAUCUGUUCCCCGUGACAUUUUCCACCAUAUAUCCAUGAGAGGGGGUGAGUUGUUUGCAUUUUUUGCUUUUCUCUCUCAUAUCCUUGGCAGUACACCAUGGAUCGACGAGGUUGAGCACAAGCACAUGCUGCACACGCACACGCUUCCCUCCUUGGAGCCGCGCGCUGAAGGCGCCAGCGAGGAGCUCUCCAUUAGGAGCGCAAGUCGCCGGCAUUUCCUAAAGGUAAAUGUUUGA
rnacentral:rRNA from 1 species